rnacentral:rRNA from 1 species
AUUGAACGCUGGCGGCAGGCCUAACACAUGCAAGUCGAACGAGUGGCGGACGGGUGAGUAAUGUCUGGGAAACUGCCUGAUGGAGGGGGAUAACUACUGGAAACGGUAGCUAAUACCGCAUACCAUCAGAUGUGCCCAGAUGGGAUUAGCUUGUUGGUGGGGUACCGGCUGACCAAGGCGACGAUCCAUAGCUGGUCUGAGAGGCAGACAGGCCACACUGGAAGUGAGACACGGACCAGACUCAUACGGGAGGGAGGAGGGGGGAAUAAAUAACGAGGGGCGCAAGACUGAUGCAGCCAUGCCGGGUGUAUGAAGAAGGCCGUAGGGUUGGAAAGUACAUUCAGCGGGGAUGCGUUUCCCGCAGAAGAAGCACCGGCUAACUCCGGGCAAGCAGCCGCGGUAAUA